rnacentral:misc_RNA from 1 species
GCCAUGGCGGUUGUGCCAGCCCGCCGUCGCCAGGCGCGACGUCACAAGUGCCCGCGUGCUCGGAUUGCGCAGCGCAUUCCUGUUGCUCAACGCGCGAUUGACCGGGCGGGCAUUGAACGCGUUCCGCACGGCGUUNCGGGUGACGUUCAGGGCUCUUGUGCUGGAGGUUCCCAUUGCGUUGCGCGCGAUAGCGCGGCGAGACGAACUCACCCGCGCGCUGCGGUUAAAUUGCCGGUUAUGGAUGGCAUA